GUUGGACUGGAUGAUCUUAGAGAUCUUUUCCAACCUCGGUGAUUCUAUGAUUUGUGCCUUACAGCUGCUCAGCAAGACCUCAGGUGGUAGCACUCAGCCCGUGGUGAGACUCCAAUCUCCAUUGGCCCGAGACUCAUUUUGGCUGUGCCCUGACAGAAGGCUUCAGAAUGAGCAGCGCAGCAUUACAAGGGACUGGUUCCUGGGGUCUCCUGCUGGGGUCUGCCUCUGGCCCAUAACCCCUGUGGUCCAACCCAUCCCUCUCCUUCUUCGUGCUGGAAACAGUGCAGCCACAGAACAGUGUUGUGUUCCCAGCAGCUCUAGUGUGGCAGAAGAAGGUACCUUCCCUAUGGAAACACUGGAGCUCUCUGUUAAGCAAACUGGCUGCUGGGACACUUGUCUGAAGCCAUGAGGCUGUCAUGGGUAUUUUGGAUGCUUUGUAGGAGCUUGUCUAGAAACCACUGGAGAACUAGAGAUCCAUUAGCUGCAAUGACCUAUAAAUAUUUGAUAGCCCAAGAUGGGGUCUUCCUGGUGGGUCCCUGCAACUGGUGUCUGCUGACCCGUGGCAUGCUGCUCGCUGGCAAUGUUUUGUGCUGUGUGCUUUGAUUAAUGAGCCCUCUUACAUCAUUUGAAUAAAUGGAUUCUGUCUCUUAACA
rnacentral:lncRNA from 1 species